rnacentral:rRNA from 1 species
UACGUAGGGUGCGAGCGUUGUCCGGAAUUAUUGGGCGUAAAGAGCUCGUAGGCGGUCUGUCGCGUCGGUCGUGAAAACUUGGGGCUUAACCCUGAGCUUGCGGUCGAUACGGGCAUGACUGGAGUUCGGCAGGGGAGAAUGGAAUUCCUGGUGUAGCGGUGGAAUGCGCAGAUAUCAGGAGGAACACCGAUGGCGAAGGCAGUUCUCUGGGCCGUAACUGACGCUGAGGAGCGAAAGCGUGGGGAGCGAACAGG